UAUCCCAUUCGGCAAAAUCCCCAUUCUGGAAGUAGAUGGAGUUAUCAUUCACCAAAGCCUGGCAAUAGCAAGAUACCUUGCUAAAGAAGCAGGUGUGGCGGGCCAGACGCCUGUGGAGCAGGCACUAGUUGAUGCUGUUGUGGACACCAUAGAUGACUUCAUGACUCUGUUCCCCUGGGCAGAGAAAAACCAGGAUGUGAG